GUGAGCAGGAAAGCAGGGGAUCGCAAGACCUUGCGCUGAUUGAGCGCCGAUAUCAGAUUAGCUAGUUGUGNGGUAAAGGCUCACCAAGGCGACGAUCUGUANCGGGUCUGAGAGGAUGAUCCGGCCACACUGGAACUGAGACACGGUCCAGACUCCUACGGGAGGCAGCAGUGGGGAAUUUUGGACAAUGGGCGCAAGCCUGAUCCAGCCCAUGCCGCGUGAGUGAAGAAGGCCUUCGGGUUGUAAAGCUCUUUCAGCCGGGAAGAAAACGCAUGGGUUAAUACCCUGUGUGGAUGACGGUACCGGAAUAAGAAGCACCGGCUAACUACGUG
rnacentral:rRNA from 1 species